UCGGUCUUCACAUUUUGCACUCACCCCUUUGUGCAUGGCCUUGAAAGUGCUCAUCUGGGAUACAGUGUGAGUGCAGACGUGAUUGCAACUGCAAGCAUUUUGUGCCCAUGCCCUGGGCAUCCAAGCCUCUCCAUAUCCCAUAUAUUGGACAGGAAGACAGAGGACAGUCUCUUUGAAGUCACCAAAUACCUCAGCGACUGCAGGUCCUGGGCGGGAUCUCCUGCCACCCCUAAAAACCUGACACGUGAAUCUGGGACCUCUGGACCUUCUACUCUGAUUGAGGUGGAGAGGUUCGGUGGAAAGAGGGCUUAGCCAUCGUGGCCCACUAAUCAAUUCAGGUCUCCUCCAGGCCUGUGGGCUUCCUGGAGGAGAUGCUCAGCGCCCUCUCUCGUGCUCUGAAGAGGGAAGGCGGGCGCGCAGCUCCUUGGAGAAUCCCCAUCACCGCAGAAAUCGCCGAAAUUGGCUGCAGCCAGUGAAGACGCCAGGAAUUUGCACCUUGCUCUGUGACCUAAAGCAGAAAUGACAUGAACAUUGACAAAUUUGACAAGGAAAUUUGUGCAAAAAACAACUUCUGUUUGGCUGGCCAAGCGGCAAAUAUGU
rnacentral:lncRNA from 1 species